GGUUGUGGCUCAAUGGUAGAGCGCUUACCUAGCAUGUAUGAGGCACUGAGUUCGAUCCUUAGCACCA
rnacentral:tRNA from 1 species